CUGGUUGAUCCUGCCAGUAGUCAUAUGCUUGUCUUAAAGAUUAAUCCAUGCAUGUGUAAGUAUAAGUAUUGUACAGCGAAACUGCGAAUGGCUCAUUACAUCAGUUAUAAUUUAUUUGAUAAUCGAAAGUUACAUGGAUAACCGUGACAAAUUACAGCUAAUACAUGCAGUCAGACCUGGUCCAAGGGUCGUAAUUAUUAGUAUUAAACCAUUUCCGAAAGGAGUGUGAUGAAUCAUAAUAAUCGAACGAAUCGCCUGGUGUGCGAUAAAUCAUUCAAGUUUCUGCCCUAUCAGCUUUGGAUGGUAGUGUAUUGGACUACCAUGGCAGUCACGGGUAACGGGGAAUUAGGGUUCGAUUCCGGAGAGGGAGCCUGAGAAACGGCUACCACAUCUACGGAAGGCAGCAGGAGCGAAAAUUGCCCAAUCCCGACACGGGGAGGCAGUGACGAGAAAUAACAACUCUUGGUUAUUCUAAGAAGUGUAAUGAGGAUAAUUUAAAACCGCUUACCGAAAGCAAUUGGAGGGCAAGUCUGGUGCCA
rnacentral:rRNA from 1 species